rnacentral:SRP_RNA from 1 species
ACUGAGUAUGGUGGUGUAUACCCAUAAUCCCUGCUACAGAGGAGGCUGAAGAUGGUGGAUCUCUUGAGCUCAGGAGUUCUGAGCUGCAGUAGAGCUAACCUCAAUCAGAUGUCUGCACUAAGUGUGGCACUAAUAUGAUGAACCCCUGGCAGCAGGAGGCCAUGAGGCUGCCUAAGGAAGGAAAAACUGAUUCAGGGCGGUAAUGGAGCAGGUCAAAGCUUCUUUGCCAGUCAGUAGUGGAAUCGGGCCCAUUGGUGACUGCUGCAUUUUUAGCCUAGGCAAGCUAGGAAGAUGUUAUCUC